ACCUUUCAAACAUCUUUGUCAAAUAUUCAACAUGUUGCUCCUCAUUUGUUGACUUCACAAUCAUAUCAUCCACAUAUACUUCGACUUCUUUGUGAAUCAUGUCAUGAAACAGAGUAGUCAUUCCCCUUUGGUAGGUAGCACCAGCAUUUAUUAGGCCGAACGGCAUCACUUUGUAGCAGAAAGUACCCCAUGGAGUGAUAAAAGACGUCUUUUCUCUAUCUUCAGGAGACAUUUUGAUCUGAUUGUAACCGGAGAAACCAUCCAUGAAG
rnacentral:lncRNA from 1 species